rnacentral:tRNA from 1 species
GCGCCCAUAGCUCAGCGGAUUAGAGCGAGCGCGUUCUAAGCGUUAGGUCGGGGGUUCGAAUCCCUCUGGGCGUA